UUAACUCAGCGGUAGAGUAAUGCCAUGGUAAGGCGUAAGUCAUCGGUUCAAAUCCGAUA
rnacentral:tRNA from 2 species